GCCAGAGAUACAGAUCCUUUGAUAACGGCACUAUCACCGGCGGGCAUAUUCCUCUCGUGUCAGGAAUGCUUCUAGGAGUCUGAAUCAUCUAAGUAAUCAUACCAAACUGUCACUCCUUUUCCAGGGUUUGCCAAUAGGCUUUAAUGAGUCAGAGUACUCCUGAUAUUGAGCAAAGGUGAGAGCUUCCUCAAAACUAAUGUGUUUUUGAGGAUUACACAACGAUGCGAGUGAUUCUGAGGUGUAGUUUCUACAUUAGAGAAGAUUUGUCGCAACGGACCAUUGGAACCAUUGGGACCACGGGGAAUAUGUUGUAAUUGUUAAACAAUGACGAUUUCACUUUCUUUUUUAAAUGUACAGUAUGACUUGGGUGAUUUCGCCUACAGUCCCUGUAAAUGUGAGGCAGCUCCCAAAAGAAAUUUAGCCCGUCUGCACCAAACACCGGUCCAGAGGCCUAAGCCAUGGGAUAAUGGAAAGAAAAUAGCGGACAUUCUAACUGGAUCAGUCUGCUAAAAUAUGAAAAUAUGAAUUAUGUUGAUCAUAGAAAAUAUAGACUAUACAUAAUAACUAACAAAGCAUCAUUCUGUUGUAUUUCAGGAGUCAUGUAUUAAUUAUUUACAUUUACAUUAUUUAAUAUUAUCAAACACACACACACACGCAUACAUAUAUAUAUAUAUAUAUAUAUAUAUGUGUGUGUGUGUAUGUAUGUAUGUUUGACUGCAAAUCAUCUUACACAAUAAAAAAAAAAAGUAAAUGUAUCUUGUUUAUCAAGUAUAUUUAAUCAUAUUCUCAAAGAAUAUAUUUUUAAGUAGUAUGUAUUCUAAAUAAAAUGCAUGUCUAAAUAAAUGUUUCCCACCUGACUGGCAAGAAAAUAAUUAUAAAAUGUCACAUCAACUAUGUUGUGAUUCUGAGUGGGGUGUAAAACUAAGUUCCGCUGCACAUUUAUAGGUAACAGAUUAAAUUAGACUGAGAAAUUGAGAAUCGGGCUCUUAAUUUGAGUUGGAGUUCGUAAUCGUCUAGCAAUAACAAGACAAGAGGAGGGGAAGAGGAGGAGAUGAGUGAAUAAAAGGGGAGUGAAUGAGAGAAGAUGUGAGGACAAAAGAGGGGUGUACGGAUAACAGCCUCCACACAGGGAGCCGUUUACCCUCCCUGAUGUUCCACAGCGGGAAAAAAAAACACUGUUGAAUUAUGUCAACAGCUGUGAAGUCUAUAAAAUGGCCUAAUACUUGUCUUUUUUUCCACAAUAGCCCGUCUGCACCAAACACCGGUCCAGAGGCCUAAGCCAUGGGAUAAUGGAAAGAAAAUAGCGGACAUUCUUGUGGCGGCCCACAGAAACCGGGGCCGUGCAAUAAAGACAGACGAGAUCACUAGUAAAGUAUACACACACUCAAACAGAGGAAAGAUGCAGCCAACUACGCCACAUGGGAGGGAAGGACCUGGGGUCUGGGAACCCUCCCUUAUGAUCUGUGAACUGGCAACCGGCUGUUCUCUAACUGCUGGGCUCAACUGAUGUUUGGCUAUGAAAAAUGAAAGUGAUGAAUUAUUACUAAUCUGCGGAUCAUUUUCUGUAUUAAGCCCACCAGACUUUGUUUUUAAUCAUGAAGGAAACAGGAGAAGAAAAUGCCUGACCACAUGUGCAAUUUCUAAUUUCUUUUACAGGACAAUUAUAAUAAGAAGAAAAACAAACAUGUCAUUUACAAAUUAGCAUUAUAUAAUGCUUAACAUACCUGUUUUAUUCAAAUGAAAAACAUUAUUUAAUGUCAUAUUUGUGGUGCACAUGCUCAUGCAUAAGAGUUGUUGGCUCAGUGACCCAGGUUUGAGUCCGACUUGGGUCAUGUCCCACUCCCACUCCCCCGCUCACACCCAUGCUUUCCUGUCCAACAGUACAAAACAACAAACAAUUUUUAUACCU
ensembl:lncRNA